rnacentral:rRNA from 1 species
UGACCUCAAAUCAGGUAGGACUACCCGCUGAACUUAAGCAUAUCAAUAAGCGGAGGAAAAGAAACUAACAAGGAUUCCCCUAGUAACUGCGAGUGAAGCGGGAAAAGCUCAAAUUUAAAAUCUGGCGGUCUUUUGGCUGUCCGAGUUGUAAUCUAGAGAAGUGUUAUCCGCGCUGGACCGUGUACAAGUCUCCUGGAAUGGAGCAUCAUAGAGGGUGAGAAUCCCGUCUUUGACAUGGACUGCCAGGGCUUUUGUGAUGCGCUCUCAAAGAGUCGAGUUGUUUGGGAAUGCAGCUCAAAAUGGGUGGUAAAUUCCAUCUAAAGCUAAAUAUUGGCGAGAGACCGAUAGCGAACAAGUACCGUGAGGGAAAGAUGAAAAGAACUUUGGAAAGAGAGUUAAACAGUACGUGAAAUUGCUGAAAGGGAAACGCUUGAAGUCAGUCGCGUCGUCCAGGGAUCAACCUUGCUUUUGCUUGGUGCACUUUCUGGUUUGACGGGUCAGCAUCAAUUUUGAUCAUUGGAAAAAGGUCAAGGGAAUGUGGCAUCUUUGGAUGUGUUUAUAGCCCUUGGUCACAUACAAUGGUUGGGAUUGAGGAACUCAGCACGCCGCAAGGCCGGGUGUUAAACCACGUACGUGCUUAGGAUGC